AAGGUGUCGGCCGCACUGCCCUCUCCCCAUGGCACUAAGGGACGAAGCUGGGCUCCCUUUCCGCGCCAUGUACGCCCGAGCAGCAGAGCCUUGCUGAGGGCAGACGCAGGCGCCUCUCCAUCGGGCCGUGCCGAAGGCCAGCACCGUGAAAGACAUGCUGCGUGCCACCAAGGCGGUGCCGUGGGGCUCCCGAGGGCGCCGGGAACGCGCCCUGCUUGCGCCCUUGGCCGUGCUCCGGCGCACCGGGAGCGCCCCGCCGCCUUCUCGAGCAGCGGUGCCCGGUUCUUUGUGACUGCUCCGAAACCACAGCCGCCUGCUUCGUAAAUAAUCCUACCCGCGGAGCUUGAGCUGUGGCUGGCGUAACAUCUCUCUGGGAAAGACCACUAAGGAAGCUUACUUAGAGCAUACGGAGAGCAGCGGGGAACGGGAGCGAAAACUCGGGACAGGGAGUGUGAUCUGGGGGACCUCGGCAAGGAACCCGUGCAGAACAAGGCUGACCCAGAAAAAAGGGCAAGGCAAAGCAUGUCUGUGAAUCAUAAGAGGUGGUCUGCAGUUCUCUGAAGAGACAGUAACCAUUGUGCUGAAAAGUAAUUUUUCUUGAAUUUUAACUCCUGCACGGGGAAACCACUUACCAGGCUGAGAGUCUUCCAAGAUAGAUGCCAGAGUGCUGCGGAUAAGACCUGUCCAUUGUUUCUGAGUUUCAUCAGUCUUGACUGUUGGAAGAGUAACAAUAGUUUUUAUCCCUUGAAGAGCUGCAGUGACUGGAGGUGGGACCUGAUUAUCUGCUGACUUUACUGCUGUUUCUUUCAAUACCCUUGUUAUCAGAAAUAGGAUAGUGGGUAACACUGUCAUACACCCUAAAAUAAAUUAAAAAAAAAGAUAAAAUAGAA